UCUUCCUCUCCAGAGUGUUGUAAGUGUGGCUGCUGUGUCACAUGUGCAUCAGUAGGUAGCAGAGAGGACAGAGGCUAUGUUUAUGCUUAGUGUUCUGAUCUGUGAACAUCUGAAUGAUUGAUUAGUAGGCCUAACAUU